CCGUGUCUUGGUGUACGCGUUGUCUUUUCCCCACCUCUGCUGGCCGGAGUGUGGGGUCCUGGCAGUCUCCAUGUUUCCUAACUAGGUGACACUACAUUGCGGACUACAUCAACGCAGAAAUCCAGGACCAUUUAGUAGUACAACCCCCUCUCCCAGGACUCUGGCAACGCCACCGCACAGACUUGUGGGAAAUGUAGUCUGUAACACGCCAACGACACAGUUUGAGACCUGCUGCAAGAGGGAAGAUGGGGGUUGGAAUUCUUCAAGUCACACACCACAAAUGUCCAAAUUCUGGGGAAUUUCUACUACAUGAGACAUCAUCAUACUUUCUGUUUUCUGAGCAAGCAGCAGGUAAUAACGAUUAAAGAAGCAGAACGCACGUUCGGUCUUGCCAUCACUAAGCCAUACUUGGUAACAUGUCUGGAGCAAAACCAAGGGUCUUCAGGUGUGAAACGACAAAGAGCAGCCACUGUGCCUCCAGGCUUGGAUGGCAUCCAUGGUCCCUUAGAGUCUGACGAAGACCAGCUUUGGGAACGCCUUAAAGAGACAGACGCUGGUGG